AGCCACAGUGGGCUCAUCACCACUCUGGGCUAUCCCAGUGGGAGCCCAGAGGAGGUGGAUGCUGCAGGGUUAGACCUGGUGGUGAUGGAGCUGCCUGGGCAGGAGGGAUUCAUCCAGGGGCUCAAACUGGGAAUAAACACGUGGCUUUGCCCUUGCCCAGGGCAUCCUCAGCCUCUCAUUUGCAGACUCCAGUUCUGAGCACCCUGGGUGCCACUUCAACACUGCCCUGUCCCACACCUCCCUAAAUCCCUGUCAUUCCUGGUGUUUUCCUCAUUUUCAUAAGCUUUUUUACCACUCUGAGGGAAAAGUUCUCCAUUUACUCAUCACUGCUCUAAUUCCAUUUGCGAGCUGUGGGUGUCAACCAGAGGUGGGCCAGCGAGAGCCGGGACGGAUUCCUGGUGGAACGAGCCUGUGUGUUGUGGCUGGGAUUGAUUUCAUGGUGCAGAAGGCACUCAGCAGCAGCCCCUGCCUGUCCUCCUGCCACGCACAGCACUGUGGAAAAUGCACUUAUUCGCAUAUUAGACCGAUUCUCUGAAGUUCAAACCUUCCAGACCCUGACGGAUCCCUGUGGCUGGUGGCUGAGUCUUUCACCCUGAACCGAGCUGACAGCUUCCAAAACUCGUGUUGAUGGAUGAUCUCAUCAAGCAGGGCUGCACUGCAGGGGCAGGAGGGGAGCAAUAUGUCUUAUUGCCUCCACUGGGGGCUUUGCUGGCAGCAUGAGGAUGGCUCAUUCCCUCUUCCCCAAAGCCAGGGAAGAAGCAGGUGUGUUCACCACUGCAACAUGGCCUGGGAGCUCCCUGAGGCACUGGGAGCAGAUGCCAGACAGAGAUUGGGGUGCUCCUUGCUGGUGCUGAUCCUGCUGCCGCCCAGAGCAAUGACCCAUUUCCAGCUCUCAUGCCCAGAAGGAGCCAGUGAGAUGACCCAAAGCAGCCAAGGGAGUCACAGGGCUGGAGAUGUGCCUGCAGCCAGGGAAGACACCUCAGUGUGCUGGAGAGCCAUUUCCAUGCUCACCCCUCAUUGUUAGUUCAUCCCCACGUGCUCGCAGCGUGGAUAUCCAAGGGGGGAUGAUCCAGCACAGGAGCAGGAGGGAUCUAGAUUUUUCUUUGGGGGAUCAUGCUUAUUUUCUUGACAUGCUUCUGUCAAGGAAUUCUGUACAGUGGUGAAGAGGAUGAACAGACUCUCCCCAGGGGUGCCUGGGUGCAGUUUUGGCAGGGGAUCAGGGUCUGAGCAGAGAUGGACUCUGCCCUUCAGCACUGCUGAAGAUGCUGGGGUGCUCUGGGGCUCAUGGCCCAGGGGAACACAAUUUGGUUUCCCCAAGUUUGUUUGCUCUCGAAGUGAGCAGCUAAAGGGAGAGGGAGAGCUUUAGCAGGGGAAGGUUCCUGGCUGUAUUAGAGGGAAGAUUUGCAGUGCUGGCCCCAGGAUCAAGGACUGCAUUAGUAUUGACCUCAGGUAUGGUGAGAUUUCCUAACUCAGCACAAGGCUGUGCUCGACUCUAAACCUCACAGAGGGCUGGGUAGCGAUAGCUCCUGCCUUGCAGGAGUGUUUGGGGUCUUGAUUCAUCACUGUCUCCUCAGCACCCCCAUUCCCAGAGGGGAAGGAUGCUCUGGCAGUGCAACCCACAGCCCUGGCUGCUGCUCGUGCAUCAGGCACCAAGGUGGCACUGAAACCAAACGUUGUGCUGAGCAGGAUCGCAGCUCCAGGCUCGGGGGGGAGGGAGAUGAUGGAGGAAAGCUGGGGAAUAAAGCUCCCCUAUCCCCUCAUCCUUCUGCUGCAGCUCUGCCCUGGCAAAACGGAAGGACCUCAUGCUGGGCUUCAGGCAGAAAGAGCAGGUGAUGGUUGUAAAGUCUCGUGUUGCUUGCAGGAAUGAGUUAUCCCAGGAAAAAUGCAGGUUUUUCUCCCCCUGUGGGCUCCUGAAGCUUUGAUAUGCUCCUCCUGCAAGUGAGAGAGCCAAAGGGAACAUGGAAUCGGCACCAUCUUCCCCCCGGAGUUCUUCUUCAGGCUUCACUUGGCGUCAUAAUGAUCCAAUCAAUCCCAGGAGGCUCCAAAUAAUUAUUAAUUAAGGCAAUGAUUGGGUGAUUUGGCCGUCAUUGCAGCUGUCUUUCACGGGGAGAGAGAAAAGCCUGUUCCUUUCUUAUUUUUCCCUAAAGCCUGACUCUGAUGGCACGCGGCUGCUCUGCAGAACACAAUGUAAUAGCAGGGUGAGUCACAGCCAAGGAUUUGUAUUCAAUAUCGGUUCGGAUUACAUUAGCUUUGCCUAAUGCCUGAGCAAUAAAGUGCCUCUUCAUUGUA